rnacentral:rRNA from 1 species
UGUCUUUUUGAAAAUAAUAUAAAGUCUAAUCUGCCCACUGAUUAAGUUAAUUGAAGGGCUGCAGUAUAUUGACUGUACAAAGGUAGCAUAAUCAUUAGUCAUUUAAUUGGUGACUUGUAUGAAGGAUUGGAUGAGAUAUAAUCUGUCUCUUAGUUAGUUAUAAAAUUUAAUUUUUUAAUUAAAAAGUUAAAAUAAGUUAAAAAGACGAGAAGACCCUAUAGAGUUUUAUAAAUAGGUUAAUUAAGAUUAUUUGUUAGUAUAAAAUUAAAAUUGAUUUAUUUAUUAUAUUGGGGUGAUAAAAAAAUAUAAAUAACUUUUUUUAUAUUAUAACAUAUAUAAGUGAAUAAAUGAUCCAAUAUUAUUGAUUAAAAGAAAAAAUUACCUUAGGGAUAACAGCGUAAUUUUUUUUUUUAGUUCAUAUAAGAAAAAGAGUUUGCGACCUCGAUGUUGGAUUAAGAUAAAAGUUAAAUGCAGAAG